rnacentral:rRNA from 1 species
GACGAACGCUGGCGGCAUGCCUAAUACAUGCAAGUCGAACGAGUGCCUUCGGGUGCUAGUGGCGCACGGGUGCGUAACGCGUGGGAAUCUGCCCUGGGGUACGGAAUAACUCAGAGAAAUUUGAGCUAAUACCGUAUGAUAUCGCGAGAUCAAAGAUUUAUCGCCCUGGGAUGAGCCCGCGUUGGAUUAGCUAGUUGGUGGGGUAAAGGCCUACCAAGGCGACGAUCCAUAGCUGGUCUGAGAGGAUGAUCAGCCACACUGGGACUGAGACACGGCCCAGACUCCUACGGGAGGCAGCAGUAGGGAAUAUUGGACAAUGGGCGAAAGCCUGAUCCAGCAAUGCCGCGUGAGUGAUGAAGGCCUUAGGGUUGUAAAGCUCUUUUACCCGGGAUGAUAAUGACAGUACCGGGAGAAUAAGCCCCGGCUAACUCCGUGCCAGCCGCCGCCGUAA